UCUGGUUAUUGCAGAAGCCCUGUUGUUGGAGAAGCUCGGAUGUCGAUGAAGCUCGAAAGAAGUUCGGAGUAAAGUCGUUCAUGGUCGAAAGAAGUCUAGGUCGAGAUUUGGAGAAUAGUUGAUCACUGUAGAAAAUUGGCUGAUAGUGAAGCUCAGAGAGCGUUUGGAGCAGUCCGGUAGAUGAAUGGAGGAGCCCAUUAUUGGAGAAGUCCGAAUGGUAUUAUGAAAGCUCAGUCGGUCGGGGGAGUUCGAAAAGAUGCCACACA
rnacentral:lncRNA from 1 species